rnacentral:rRNA from 1 species
UUGCUAGCGAUAGGCUUAACACAUGCAAGUCGAGGGGCAGCAUAUUCGAAGCUUGCUUUGAAUGAUGGCGACCGGCGCACGGGUGCGUAACGCGUAUGUAACCUGCCUGUCAGAAGGGGAUAACCCGGUGAAAGUCGGACUAAUACCCUAUAUGCUCACGAGAGGCGCCUGCCUUGGUGAGGAAAGAUUUAUCACUGACAGAUGGACAUGCGUCCCAUUAGCUGGUUGGUAGGGUAACGGCCUACCAAGGCAACGAUGGGUAGGGGAACUGAGAGGUUUAUCCCCCACAUUGGUACUGAGACACGGACCAAACUCCUACGGGAGGCAGCAGUGAGGAAUAUUGGUCAAUGGGCGCAAGCCUGAACCAGCCACGUCGCGUGAGGGAAGACGGUCCUAAGGAUUGUAAACCUCUUUUGUACGGGAAUAAAAUACCCACGAGCUGGGGAAUUGCAUGUACCGUACGAAUAAGCAUCGGCUAACUCCGUGCCAGCAGCCGCGGUAAUACGGAGGAUGCGAGCGUUAUCCGGAUUUAUUGGGUUUAAAGGGUGCGUAGGUUGUUUUGUAAGUCAGUGGUGAAACCCCGUGGCUCAACCCCGGGCAUGCCAUUGAAACUGCAGGAACUUGAGAAUGGACGAGGCANGCGGAAUGUGUGGUGUAGCGGUGAAAUGCAUANAUAUCACACAGAACACCGAUUGCGAAGGCAGCUUGCCAGACCAUAUCUGACACUGAANGCACGAAAGCGUGGGNUAUCGAACAGGAUUANAUACCCUGGUAGUCCACG